UACGUAGGGACCAAGCGUUGUCCGGAAUCAUUGGGCGUAAAGAGCGUGUAGGCGGCUUGUUAAGUCUUGCGUGAAAUCUCGGGGCUCAACCCCGAGCGGUCGUGAGAAACUGGCAGGCUAGAGUGCGGGAGAGGAGAGUGGAAUUCCUGGUGUAGCGGUGAAAUGCGUAGAUAUCAGGAGGAACACCGGUGGUGUAGACGGCUCUCUGGACCGUAACUGACGCUGAGACACGAAAGCGUGGGUAGCAAACAGG
rnacentral:rRNA from 1 species